rnacentral:lncRNA from 1 species
CCUCUUAAAUCUCAUAUGACUACUCCUUUCUAUCAAGAUUGAUAGAUCCCAUCUAGAUGCACACUCUAUUCCUAUAGUGGACCAAUUAUCACCAGCAUACACUAUAAAGACUCAUAUGGCUAGAGGUAAUAUUUCUGUAUGGUCAAACUUCAGUAGCCUCACUGUGAGCAGCCGUGGCACCGCAGAUCAAAGAACCAUCCACACAACCA